rfam:Camelus ferus unplaced genomic scaffold scaffold621, whole genome shotgun sequence.
GCAGGGUAGAGCUCAGUGGUACAGUAUGUGCCUAGCAUGCAUAAAGUCCUGGGUUCAAUCCCCAAUCCCUCCA